rnacentral:rRNA from 1 species
UUGGAAACUGGUUAACUUGAGUGCAGUACAGGUAAGCUGGAACUCCAUGUGUAGCGGUGGAAUGCGUAGAUAUAUGGAAGAACACCAGUGGCGAAGGCGGCUUACUGGACUGCAACUGACGUUGAGGCUCGAAAGUGUGGGUAGCAAACAGGAUUAGAUACCCUGGUAGUCCACACCGUAAACGAUGAACACUAGGUGUUAGGAGGUUUCCGCCUCUUAGUGCCGAAGCUAACGCAUUAAGUGUUCCGCCUGGGGAGUACGACCGCAAGGUUGAAACUCAAAGGAAUUGACGGGGACCCGCACAAGCGG